AUGGCCUGGACUCCUCUCCUUCUUGUGCUUCUCUCUUACUGCACAGGUUCCCUGUCCCAGCCUGUGCUGACUCAGCCGCCCUCCCUCUCUGCAUCUCCUGGAGCAUCUGCCAGACUCACCUGUGCCCUGAGCAGUGGCUUCAGUGUGGGGAGCUAUGGGAUAGGGUGGCAGCAGCAGAAGCCAGAGAGCCCUCCCCACUAUCUUCUGUACUACCACACAGACUCCGAUAAGAAACAGGGUUCUGGGGUCCCCAGCCGCUUCUCUGGAUCCAAGGACACCUCAGCCAAUGCAGGUGUUCUGCACAUCUCGGGGCUGCAGCCUGAGGACGAGGCCGACUAUUACUGUGCAAUAUGGGACGGCAGUGCUUCCCACAGUGAUGCAGGCCGAUGA